rnacentral:rRNA from 1 species
AUUGAACGCUGGCGGCAGGCCUAACACAUGCAAGUCGAACGGUAACAGGAAGCAGCUUGCUGCUUCGCUGACGAGUGGCGGACGGGUGAGUAAUGUCUGGGGAGCUGCCUGAUGGAGGGGGAUAACUACUGGAAACGGUAGCUAAUACCGCAUAAUGUCGCAAGACCAAAGAGGGGGACCUUCGGGCCUCUUGCCAUCGGAUGUGCCCAGAUGGGAUUAGCUUGUUGGUGGGGUAACGGCUCACCAAGGCGACGAUCCCUAGCUGGUCUGAGAGGAUGACCAGCCACACUGGAACUGAGACACGGUCCAGACUCCUACGGGAGGCAGCAGUGGGGAAUAUUGCACAAUGGGCGCAAGCCUGAUGCAGCCAUGCCGCGUGUAUGAAGAAGGCCUUCGGGUUGUAAAGUACUUUCAGCGGGGAGGAAGGGAGUAAAGUUAAUACCUUUGCUCAUUGACGUUACCCGCAGAAGAAGCACCGGCUAACUCCGUG